rnacentral:tRNA from 1 species
GCCUGACUGGUUCAUUCAGUAGAGCAUGUGACUCUUGAUCUUGAGGUUGUGAGUUCAAGACCCACAUUAGGUA